rnacentral:rRNA from 1 species
CAGGUCUUGACAUCCUCUGACAACCCUAGAGAUAGGGCUUUCCCCUUCGGGGGACAGAGUGACAGGUGGUGCAUGGUUGUCGUCAGCUCGUGUCGUGAGAUGUUGGGUUAAGUCCCGCAACGAGCGCAACCCUUGAUCUUAGUUGCCAGCAUUCAGUUGGGCACUCUAAGGUGACUGCCGGUGACAAACCGGAGGAAGGUGGGGAUGACGUCAAAUCAUCAUGCCCCUUAUGACCUGGGCUACACACGUGCUACAAUGGAUGGUACAAAGGGCUGCAAACCUGCGAAGGUAAGCGAAUCCCAUAAAGCCAUUCUCAGUUCGGAUUGUAGGCUGCAACUCGCCUACAUGAAGCCGGAAUCGCUAGUAAUCGCGGAUCAGCAUGCCGCGGUGAAUACGUUCCC